AUGAAGUUGAUGUUUGUAAUAUUUAUAUGUAAAUCUAAUAAAGUAAAUAUUUUAAAAAAAAUUCUUCUCAAAAUCCAUAUAUUUUUUCCCGGGUUUCCCCGAUAUAUCUGAUAUCUCUCUUUUCAAAGGACCGAUAGAUACACCGAUACCGAUAUUUUAAUCAUUGACUGAAGCUGCUACUACACUAGCUGAACCAAUAAAAACCUGCUACUGCAUUUAUUGGAAGUGUAGUAGCAGCAAUAUUCCAGCAAAUGUAGUAGCAGCUAAAACAAGGGGCAAUUACAUAGAAGUCCAUUUGGAGACAUUUUCUCCCAUAUAAGUCUACCUAAACAUUUUUACCCAUAUAAGUCCACCCAAGCCUAAAUAGAGUCUUAUAUUAAGUAUUAAAGUUCAACAAAAUUACAGACUGCCAUCCAACCAAAAAAUUAGAUUUUUUCUCUUAUAUUUACAAAAAUGCUACUAAUAUAAAAAGUCAACAACCAUAAAUGGUCUCCGACUGACCUCCGGCGAAAUUUCCAACCGACCUCCGCCGAACUUUCCGACCGAACUCCGGCGAACAUUCCGGCCGACCAUCUAUGAGGAUUCUAGCGACCACAAAAGCUACUACCAGUGACAACAAAAGCUACUACCGCUGACAAAGAAAGCUACUACCACUAACAAAGAAAGCUACUACUACUGACAACAAAAGAUACUACUGAUAGCAAAAAAAACUACUGUCACCAGCAAAGAAAUCUACUACUGAUAGCAACAAAAGCUACUACCGCCAGCAAAGAAAGCUACUACUAUUGACAACAAAAUAUACUACCGAUAGCAAAAAAGGCUACUGUCACUAGCAAAGAAAGCUACUACCGAUAGCAACAAAAGCUACUACGACCAACAAAGAAAGCUACUACCACUGACAGGUCUCUGGCUGACUUCAGGUAAAGUUUCUGACCGACCUCCGACAAUGUAACUGAAGAUUGCAAAAGAUACUGUCACUAGCAACAAAGGCUACUACCAUCGGCUAUAAAAACUACUAUUAUCGGCUAUAAAAGCUACUAUGGUGAGAUCUUCGACGACCUCCGACGAGAUCACAAAAAACUAUCGCCAGUAACAAAAAUACUACCGAACAUAACAAAAUCUACUACCACCAGCUACAAAAGCUACGAUACUAAGAUUCCGGUGACCUCCGGCGAGGUCACAAAAGAUACUACCAAGCAUAUGAAAAACUACUAUCAACAAAGAUAUUACCGCCGUAAACAAAAGCUACUACAGUCACCAGCAAAAGAUAUUACCGCCAGCAACAAAAGAUACUACUGAUGUGAACAAAAGCUNNNNNNNNNNNNNNNNNNNNCAACAAAAGCUACUACCGUCACCUACAAAAGCUACUACCGCCACCAAUCGAAUCUACUACCUUCAACAACAAAAUCUACUAUAUCCAACAACAAAAGCUGCUAUGGUGAGAUUUUCGACGACCUUCAGAAAGGUCACAUAUAAUGUCGCUAACAACAAAAGUUACUACUAAGCAGAACAAAAACUACUAUCCGGCAUAACAAAAGAUACUACCAAGCAUAAUAAAAGCUACUGUCACCAGCAACAAAAGCUACUACCAAGCAAAACACAUGAUAUUACCAAGCACAACAAAACCUACUACCAAACAGAAGAAAAGUUACUGCAAUCAAGAGAAUAUAACAAAUUCAAUGGUGCAAAAAAUAUGAAGCCUUCUACAAUAAUAUAAUUAUGUACAAAAGCUGCUACCACUGACUACAAAAACUACUACAACCAACAACAAAAGCUACUGCCGUUAGUAACAAAAGCUACUACCGCUGACAAGAAAAGCUACUACCACCAAUUACAAAAGCUACUACCACCGAUUACAAAAGCUACUACCACCAACUACAAAAGCUAAUACCACCGACUACAAAAGCUACUACAGCCAACAACAAAAGCUACUACCGCCAGCAAUAAAAGCUACUAUCCCUAGCUACAAAAGCUACUACCACCGACUACGAAAGCUACUACAGUCAACAACAAAAGCUACUACAGCCAAUAACAAAAGCUACUACCGUCAGCAAAAAAAGCUACUAACCUUAGCUACAAAAGCUACUACCACCGACUACAAAAGCUACUACAGCCAACAACAAAAACCACUACUGCCAGUAACAAAAGCUACUACUGCCAACAACAAAAUCUAUUAUCCCUACCUACAAAAGCUGCUACCACCGACUACAAAAGCUACUACUGGAGGUUGAGAAAAUUAUUUUUUAUAGACUUGCAUGAUUGCGGAAAUGUAGAGGAUACAACUAAAAUAAAAAUGCUAAUGCAAUCGAGUGAAUAAAACAUAUUCAAUGAUACAAAAAGACGUUUUCAACAAUGAUAAAAUUAUUUACAAAACUACUUCCAUAGUUGUAAAAAGUUGCUACUA
rnacentral:lncRNA from 1 species